rnacentral:rRNA from 1 species
GACGAACGCUGGCGGCGUGCUUAACACAUGCAAGUCGAACGGAAAGGCCCUGCUUUUGUGGGGUGCUCGAGUGGCGAACGGGUGAGUAACACGUGAGUAACCUGCCCUUGACUUUGGGAUAACUUCAGGAAACUGGGGCUAAUACCGGAUAGGAGCUCCUGCUGCAUGGUGGGGGUUGGAAAGUUUCGGCGGUUGGGGAUGGACUCGCGGCUUAUCAGCUUGUUGGUGGGGUAGUGGCUUACCAAGGCUUUGACGGGUAGCCGGCCUGAGAGGGUGACCGGGCCCCAUGGGGCUGGGGAACGGCGCAGGGCCCUUCCGGGGGGAGGGGUGGGGGAUAUUGCACAAUGGGGGGGAGCCUGAUGCAGCAACGCCGCGUGCGGGAUGACGGCCUUCGGGUUGUAAACCGCUUUCGCCUGUGACGAAGCGUGAGUGACGGUAAUGGGUAAAGAAGCACCGGCUAACUACGUG